rnacentral:rRNA from 1 species
AUUGAACGCUGGCGGCAGGCUUAACACAUGCAAGUCGAGCGGAGAUGAGGUGCUUGCACCUUAUCUUAGCGGCGGACGGGUGAGUAAUGCUUAGGAAUCUGCCUAUUAGUGGGGGACAACAUUCCGAAAGGAAUGCUAAUACCGCAUACGUCCUACGGGAGAAAGCAGGGGAUCUUCGGACCUUGCGCUAAUAGAUGAGCCUAAGUUGGAUUAGCUAGUGGGUGGGGUAAAGGCCUACCAAGGCGACGAUCUGUAGCGGGUCUGAGAGGAUGAUCCGCCACACUGGGACUGAGACACGGCCCAGACUCCUACGGGAGGCAGCAGGGGGGAAUAUUGGACAAUGGGGGGAACCCUGAUCCAGCCAUGCCGCGUGUGUGAAGAAGGCCUUAUGGUUGUAAAGCACUUUAAGCGAGGAGGAGGCUACUGAGACUAAUACUCCUGGAUAGUGGACGUUACUCGCAGAAUAAGCACCGGCUAACUCUGUGCCAGCCGCCGCCGUAACAC